rnacentral:rRNA from 12 species
AAUCCAGAGAUGGAUUUGUGCCUUCGGGAACUGUGAGACAGGUGCUGCAUGGCUGUCGUCAGCUCGUGUUGUGAAAUGUUGGGUUAAGUCCCGCAACGAGCGCAACCCUUAUCCUUUGUUGCCAGCGGUUAGGCCGGGAACUCAAAGGAGACUGCCAGUGAUAAACUGGAGGAAGGUGGGGAUGACGUCAAGUCAUCAUGGCCCUUACGACCAGGGCUACACACGUGCUACAAUGGCGCAUACAAAGAGAAGCGACCUCGCGAGAGCAAGCGGACCUCAUAAAGUGCGUCGUAGUCCGGAUUGGAGUCUGCAACUCGACUCCAUGAAGUCGGAAUCGCUAGUAAUCGUGGAUCAGAAUGCCACGGUGAAUACGUUCCCGGGCCUUGUACACACCGCCCGUCACACCAUGGGAGUGGGUUGCAAAAGAAGUAGGUAGCUUAACCUUCGGGAGGGCGCUUACCACUUUGUGAUUCAUGACUGGGGUGAAGUCGUAACAAGGUAACCGUAGGGGAACCUGCGGUUGGAUCACCUCCUUA